GGGGUGUAUUCCUGCCUGCAGACUUUGGGAAAUCACCACAGGGAGUCAGACUGCUGAAGCACAGUCAAGCAAUAAAUCUACCAGUUAAGACAAUUACACAGACAACUGAAGAUUUCACUAUGAAUACCAGGGCUGAAGAGAUAAUUAAUACGUGAGAUUUUGACCACAGAAUCAGCCAAAUUCCAAAGAAUAAUGAGAAGUCUACUAUCAGAGCACCUCUUAAAAAUGGAAGUGUUUGGUUAGGACGUCGAAGGUUGUUUCUCAACCAUUCUAGCAAUUUCAGCUCAAGAUGCUUCCUGACUCCAAAUCUUAAUGGCAGAUAAUUAGAGCAAUAGGAAAAUUCAUUUUUUGAAGAUACAAAUUCACAGGGAAAGUAGAGAGCAGUUCAACCAGAAGUAAAUUUGUGAGAGGACUGAAUUCAGAUGGUCUUGCAAGAAAAAUAAUACAGUCCUGUCUGAUCACAUCUCGUCAACAAAUGUCUCACUUGCAUUUAAGUGUUCUGCAAUUCAAAGCUGGUUCCACAGUUCCACAGCAUGAUUGCACUUACGGUGCAAUGGAGUCAUCUUGUAUUUAUCAGGAGUGAACUACUGCCUGCAGCUGAAAGGUGAGUCAGCGCUUUCCAGCAUUACUGUGUCUUUGAUAGCUAUAAUUUGGCCAAAUUUCUACCUGUCUGACUCAGCGGCUCUGUCCCUUCCAUGAAGACCCGUAACCCCUGUGGAAGACUCUCCUGUGCUGUUGACACUCCCCCUGCUGACAGCAUUCAAUCAGGAAGAUGAUUUGGAAGGGCGUGAGGGCACAGUGGUGAGAAGAAACUGCUUUGAUGGAGUUCAUAUGAAAAGGAAUAGAAACAGCAGAGGUGAUUACAAGUAGAAAAAGACAGUCACAGCUCUAGUAAAUCAAACUGGUGUUGUCAUAGUAAAAUUGUCAACAGAGGGUGAAACACAAUGCUUAUUGCAAUUAAGUGGUGCCACUCUGGAGAACUGGGUUUUAUUCUCAUCUUUGACAUGACGGACUGCAGGCAAUAUGUGAGUCAACGUGGCUUUUGCUUCCAAGCUACUUGCUUGCAUGUAAGCAUCCGUGGGAACGUCAGCACCGUUCUGCGGCUACAGAUUUAUUACUUGGCCAGCAGAGGGAACUCGAGUUUUCCAAUGACUUCACGAAUCCGAGGGAAAACAAUCGUGAGGUUGAACUUUACCUAUUGUUUUGUUCCGUUUCCCCCUGACGCUGAGUGCUACGAGUUAUUUUGUUUCAGCUGUGUUUUGGAUUUGAUUUUUGUUUGUUUUAUUGUGGUGGUUUGGGUUAGGUUUUUUCUCCCAGUUCUUGAGGGUUGAAUUUGGCAGGGCUGAUCUCCAGUUUUCUUCCAUUCGAAUGAUCUUGCCUAACACAAAAAACAAAGUCAUUUGAAACUCAAAGAGCCGUUUAUAGUUGAAUGUGCUUUAAACAUGUAGAGAUUGUAAUGGCAUUUGAGUUUUCAGGAAUUUUAACACUAUGUGCACUCCUUUGAAUAGCAUGCUUUUAUAAUGCUAGCCAGUGAAGAGAUUUUCAAAGCUCAAGAGAAAAUUUUUGAAUCCUGUGAGAAGUGAACAUAACAACAUGGAAAAAAAAAAAAACCUUCUGUUUCUUCAGUGGACAGUAUCAUUUGCAAAGUCAUGGGAAGUCCUAUUUCAGAAGUAGAUCCAACUAUUUGUCUGUAAUCCAGUUUUUCUGAUAAAGAUGAUGUUUAAGAUAUGAACCCAACAUGCAUUCCUCAGUGCAUUCCCUGAUCAUAACAGCUUUAAAGUGAAUGCAAUAUCAGAGAUAUACAUUUUCUUCAGCUUUUUCUAGAGUUAAAUAAACAUAUAAAGCUAGCUGAAAAUGCCACCUAAAAA